CCUAUCAACAAAAGUAUGCAAUUAACAUACGAGAAAAAUGGCUCGUACUGAAAUAGCAAAAAUUUUUUAAACUGAUACAAAAGCUUUUCAAAUCCAAAAACAAUGACAAAUUCUAGGAAAAUAUCUUUCAGGGCACAUUGUUUUGCUUUGAAAAUGGAUGCUGAUUCUCAUUCAAAGUUCAGUUUGGGAUAAUCAAAUAUGAUUUAAUGGUAUCCUUAAAUAUAUCUAGAAACAGUAUAACUUUACCUACAUUAAAGUAGUUGAAAUAUUUUUAAAAAAUAGAAAAGGACUCUUAUAUGCCAAACAAGAAAAUGAGAUCAUAUUCCAAGAAUUACAUUGCAUGCCCAAUUCCAAAUCAAACCAAACAUUGCCCUAUUACAUUGCAUGCCCAAUUCCAAAUCAAACCAAACAUUGCCCUAAUGCUUCCCAAGUGCCAUAGAUCAUAAU
rnacentral:misc_RNA from 1 species